AUUGAACGCUGGCGGCAGGCCUAACACAUGCAAGUCGAGCGGAGCGGCGGACGGGUGAGUAAUGCCUAUGUAUCUGCCUGGUAGUGGGGGAUAACGUCCGGAAUCGGGCGCUAAUAUCGCAUAAUAUCAGAUGAGCCUAGGUCGGAUUAGCUAGCUGGUGGGGUAAAGGCCUACCGAGGCGCCGAACCGUAACUGGUUUGAGUGGAUGAUCAGUCACCCGGGAACUGGGACACGGUCCAGGAUCCUACGGGAGGCAGCGGUGGGGAAGAUUGGACAGUGGGCGAAAGCCAGAGCCAGCCAUGCCGCGUGUGUGAAACAGGGCUUCGGAUUGUAGAGCACUAUAAUUUGGGAGGCGUUACCAACAGAAUAAGCACCGGCUAACUUCGUGCCAGCAGCCGCGGUAAUAC
rnacentral:rRNA from 1 species